CUCCAGUCCCGCGUUUGGCGACCGCCAGACAUAUCAAUUGGACCCCGCAAAUUUUCGCGAAGCUCUGAAGGAAAUUAAGUCCGAUAUCGACGAGGGGGCGGAUAUUGUAAUGGUGAAGCCGGCGCUUCCGUAUCUGGAUGUGAUCCAUGCUGCCAGGCUGGCAUUUGACCGACCCAUCGCG
rnacentral:misc_RNA from 1 species